rnacentral:sRNA from 1 species
GAUCUUCGACUCAUACAUCAUGAAGGAGCUGCUGGCCUGCUCGCAUCCCUUCUCGAAGAGUGCCACUGAGCAUGUCCAAGGCCACCUGGGGAAGAAGCAGGUGCCUCCGGAUCUCUUCCAGCCAUACAUCGAAGAGAUUUGUCAAAACCUCCGAGGGGACGUGUUCCAGAAAUUCAUCGAGAGAGUGGCAUUGGCAGCAGGUGCUGCUACCCUCCCUGCAGUCCCCUCUUGCCCCAACCCCCAGCACCCGGGCUCAGGGACCACAGCAAGGCACCUGCAGGUUGGGCCAUACUGACCUCGCCUGGCCUGAGGUCUCGCCGAUGCUGGGCUGGGUGCGACCCCAUCUGCCCAGGACGGGGCCGGCCAGGUGGGCGGGCAGCACAGCAAGGAGGCUGGCUGGGGUCUAUCAGUGUGCCCCCCAUCCCGGCCCAUCAGUGUACCCCCGCCCAGGCUGGCCAGCCCCACAGCCCACGUCCUGUCAGUGCCGCCGCCUCGCCCAC